rnacentral:rRNA from 1 species
CCUACGGGGUGCAGCAGUGGGGAAUAUUGCACAAUGGGGGAAACCCUGAUGCAGCGACGCCGCGUGAGUGAAGAAGUAUUUCGGUAUGGUAAGCUCUAUCAGCCGGGAAGAAAAUCACGGUACCUGAUUAAGAAGCCCCAGCUAACUACGUGCCAGCAGCCGCGGUAAUACGUAGGGGGCAAGCGUUAUCCGGCUUUACUGGGUGGAAAGGGAGCGUAGGCGGCAGCAGAAGUCUGGAGUGAAAUGCUGGGGCUUAAACCCGGAACUGCUUUGGAAACUGUGCAGCUAGAGUGCAGGAGAGGUAAGUGGAAUGCCUAGUGUAGCGGUGAAAUGCGUAGAUAUUAGGAGGAACACCAGUGGCGAAGGCGGCAUACUGGACUGUAACUGACACUGAGGCUCGAAAGCGUGGGGAGCAAACAGGAUUAGAUACCCCUGUAGUC